rnacentral:rRNA from 1 species
UACGGAGGGCGCGAGCGUUGUCCGGAAUCAUUGGGCGUAAAGAGCUCGUAGGCGGCCGGUUGCGUCUGCUGUGAAAUCCCGGGGCUUAACCCCGGGCGUGCAGUGGAUACGGGCUGGCUGGAGGCAGGCAGGGGAGAAUGGAAUUCCCGGUGUAGCGGUGAAAUGCGCAGAUAUCGGGAGGAACACCGGUGGCGAAGGCGGUUCGCUGGGCCGGUGCUGACGCUGAGGAGCGAAAGCGUGGGGAGCGAACAGG